GACGAACGCUGGCGGCGUGCCUAAUACAUGCAAGUAGAACGCUGAAGGAGGAGCUUGCUUCUCUGGAUGAGUUGCGAACGGGUGAGUAACGCGUAGGUAACCUGCCUGGUAGCGGGGGAUAACUAUUGGAAACGAUAGCUAAUACCGCAUAAGAGUAGAUGUUGCAAGACAUUUGCUUAAAAGGUGCAAUUGCAUCACUACCAGAUGGACCUGCGUUGUAUUAGCUAGUUGGUGGGGUAACGGCUCACCAAGGCGACGAUACAUAGCCGACCUGAGAGGGGACGCGGCCACACUGGGACGGGGACACGGCCCAGACUCCUACGGGAGGCAGCAGGAGGGAAUCUUCGGCAAUGGAAGGAAUGCUGACCAAGCAACGCCGCGUGAGUGCAGAAUGUUGUCGGGUCGUAAAGCUCUGUUGUAAGAGAAGAACGAAUGUGAGAGUGGAAAGUUCACACUGUGACGGUAUCUUAACAGAAAGGGACGGCUAACUACGUG
rnacentral:rRNA from 1 species